AUUUUUAUUAACAUAAAAAUUAUAACUAUGACAGCCUAGGCUGUAUAGGCUACGCUCUUUGCCUGCUUGUUGGCGAAUUUAAAAACAACAACAACAACAAUAUCUAUAUAAAUAUAUUUUAUUAUUAUUAUGCGGAUAUAAUAAUAAUAAAAUGUACCUAAGGGCUUAUUUCUAGCAACAUUAACCACAAUUAACUUAUUUAAUAUGUACUGUAAAUAAUGAUGAGCGAUUAUUGAUUUCGAAGAAAACAAUUAACAACUUAAUUUUAGUUGCAGAAAAAAACAGAUUUCUCUUAAGCCUGGACGCUCAUUGAAUACUGUCCAAUAUAAAUAAACUGGACAGUUGUUUUAGCAUUUCUAAAUAAACAUUUCGAAAACAGAACAAAACUAGGGACACAGCUAAGUCAUUGUCUACUGCUUUGUGCUCUGCGAAAACCUCGUUUGAAGACAGAUGCAUCACAAUGUUCAUCGUGAACAUCAGGAAACAUCGUGAACUCCGCUCGAGCUCAUUUCAAAGCUAGGUGGUACGUUGCAGAAAGGAUCUCCCAUCUCAAAACUCACCCCGGACGAACGCAGUGGUUCUAGGUAAGUUUGGACUCUGCUCCGGCGCCAGGCGGUGUGAUGGUAAAGACGAGAUGAUGGGUUCAUCUCAAAUAAUUAUUCAGAGCAUUCCCCAUGGAAUACCAGGUCAUCGUUCUCGUCGAACCCGUCGCUGGGGACUAAGGGUUCGGCGAGUAAAUUAACCCACAGACAUAGCUUACUGAGUUUUAAGCCGGAUCUUCUCAGUGGGUCGCGUUUCCGAUCCGGUGGUAGAUUCUGCGAAGCACGGCCCUUGCUAGAGUUCGUGUUAGCAACAUCGUUAGGUUUAAGCUCCGUGAGCUCAUCUACUAGUUAAGGUUACGCUGAUAUGGUCUCUCUAGACCAUCCACUUAGGUAGGAAAAAAAAACAUGGAAGAUACAGUGGAAACAUAGAGAAAACUGAAAUUUCUACAUCGACCCAGACAUUCCAAACAAUCGGUGAGAAUGUAAUUAUCGACAAUCCGAGCAGCCCUCCUCUUUAUGGAGACAAAUCGAAGUAGCUGGUAUUUGGAAUCUCGCCUGAGCAACCUAUUUUGACGAUUCCAAAGUUCAAACCAACAGAGACUUGAAAAUACUAAUACAUAGUUGACAUUUUUAUUGAAGUUGAUAUGUGUUAUGAUUGAUUUAGUGUGUUUUUCUAUGUGAUAAAUCCUAUGGAACACUAAAAAAUACCUAAGUUUAUAAUUAGUAAAUGAGCAUUGUAAAAACAUAAUUACUGCAAAGGCGACAAGCAGUCUAGUUGCAUACGAUUGCUUCAGCUAGGUCAUAUGUUAUCAAAAUGAUCUAAUUCGUAAUAAUUAACACGACCAGCCUAAGUAAAUAUGUCGUAAGCAUCAUAAUCUAUUUUGCACACAUGUUCAGAUCAAUACUCAAAAAGGAUUAUAAAAGGUACUAUAUAGAAGAGAACUAAAAGACUACUGAAAAGACGCUUAAAUGUGUAUAAAAUUCGUGGACUACGUGGUUGAAUAUUAUUAACAUAAAAUAUACAUACAUAUGUAUAUAGGUAGGUAGAACAGAGUUAUAGCAAAGUAAUAGUGAAAUAUAGAAUUUUUGCUGCUAAUAAAUAACCUCGAGGAGUUUACUAGCUUUAAUGGACCUGGGUGAAAACAAAGAAAACACGUUAUUUCGGAUCCUCCGAAUCCACUAUUGAUGCUUUUAACCAUUCCAAGCACCAGUCACCGUUCUCGUCGAACCCGUCGAACUCGACGAAGAUUUUGGCGAGUAAGUUAAUUCAGAGACACAGCCCACUGAGUUUCUCGCCGGAUCUUCUCAGUGGGUCGCGAUUCCGAUCCGGUGGUUAGAUUCAGCGAAGCAUUACCGUUGCUAGGGCUAGUGUUAGGCAAUUUGUUAGGCUGAGCCCCGUGAGCUUCGCCUACAGGUUCGGUGAAGUUGGUAGAACCUCUCGAGUUUACCAAGAUAGAUAGGCAUAAUAAAAAACAAAGAGCUAAUGGAAACUUAUACAUUAUGCUGACACCAUCAUCAGCAGUUCUUACUCUCAGUUUUUACUUCAGUGGAACUCUUUCAUUCCCGAUCCUGCGGACAGAAUGGAAAGCAGUCGACGUCGCCAAAAACACGUCAUCUCGGAUCCUCCCGAUCCACUAACGGUGCUUCUAGGUACUUCAAGCACCGGUCACCGUUCUCGUCGAACCCGUCGCUUGCGACGAAGGGCUCGACGAGUAAAUUAACUCCCAGACACAGCCCACUGAGUUUCUCGCCGGAUCUUCUCAGUGGGUCGCGUUUCCGAUCCGGUGGUAGAUUCUGCGAAGCACGGCUCUUGCUAGGGUUCGUGCUAGCAACGUCAUCAGGUUUGAGCCCCGUGAGCUCACCUACAAACGUUAGGGUUACGCUGAAAUAGCCUCUCAAGGCUCUCAGCUUAGGUAGGAAAAAAAAAAAGGAACUCUUGUUCCACUAAGGACGUAAAUUACAAUAUAUUUUUUUGCGUAAAUGGGAAAUCAAACUUCAGAACCACCUGGUGUUAAGUGGACGCCGAAACCUAUAGUCAUCACAGAGAUAUCGGAUCGUCACAUCUCGGUUAGCUUGUUAGCUAACCCCGUUCGUACUGGCUGAGCUCGUGCUUGCCCACCCAUGACCACCACCAGCAAUCCUCCCAUACAAAACAAACAAACAGCAACCUGUUGUGCUCAACCCGCAUCUAUUUCUGUUGUGUAUUUCUGUGUCUAAUUUAAACUUUGCAUUUUUUACAUAUAUGUACUUACAUAUUUGUUUAUAAUGUCGCUAAAAUGCAUUUUCAUGAGAAAUAUUAUUUCUAUUACAGUUAAAAAUAAAAUCCUGUCUAAACACGAUGGUCACGGCCCUCAGCAGUGAGGAAAUAACGUGAGGAGGAGGAGGUCAUUGUAUGCCAUGUUUUUUCGUCUCGAGUUUCUUAUUGUCAUUAUAUUAAUACUAAUACUAUUUCGGACAUCUCGAAUACUUUAGGGUUUUGUGCAGCCCUUGACAACGCAAAAAAAAAUAGGCAGCGGCUUAGCUCUGCCCCUGGCAUUGCUAACGUCCUUGCGCGACGGUAACCACUCACCAUCAGGUGGACCCUAUACUUGUCUGCCUACAAGGGCAAUAAAAGUUACCUGUACUAAUUAAGCCACAAAACAUUAGCUAUGAACACAUAACAUUAUUAGAUUUUAAAUACAAAACAAAAGUUUUGUUAAAGCUUUUAAUAUGCGCAUACAUAUAACGAGGUAAUUAUUGUAUUACUUAUUAAAGAUAAUUAAUUAUUUCGUUUACAGUGACUACAUUUCUGUUUAAACGACGUCAAGAAAACGUAAAACAUUUUUGAUUUUUUUAUAAAUACAAUAACAACAAAAAGUGACAUCGUUAAUUGAUGUUGCAAUAAAAAAAUUCCAAUAGAAAGCAAGUUUUAUAUGCCAAUAUUACGAGUAUAAUUUAUCGAAAGCAAUGCUGUUAGUACCUACUAUAAACAACGUGAUUAAUUAUUGUUUCUUCAGUGUUCAAGAGAGACGGAUGCCAUCUGAUCCAGGACACUGGCCUUGGCUGAUCUUGCGCAACGCUGUAAUGAAUAAAAAUAAAAAUAUUAGUAAUAUAUUUUUUUAUUGCUUGGAUGGGUAUAUAUAUAUUUUUUUAUUGCAUCUACAAUGUAAAUGCCGCCUUGAGACAUGGGCUGUAAGGUCUGACUUUUAACAGUACAACGGCUGCCCCGCCCUUCAAACCGAAACGCAUUACUGCUUCACGGCAGAAAUAAGCAACGCAGUGGUACCUACCCGUGCGGACUCACAAGACGUCCUACCACCAGUAAAAGUAGUAGUAGCAGUAGUUAUUAAUUAUCAUUAUAAUUGUCGUAAUGAAAUGCUCUCACAUUCUCUUCUGGGCUCGCUUAACCUCAGACUAAAUUAACUCGAUGCCUUGAUCUGAUGUUUAAACCAAUAAUUUCCUUAUGGAAAUCCUGAUGAUUUUACCAACGAUCGUCGCUUCGUUCCAACCAUAACACUUCUUUAUUGGAGAAACUGCUUCGAGCAAUGUGAUUGGACCUCCAUCUUAAAUUACGGUAGGCAAUUUGGUGUACGGUGCGUUGCUUCCACAAUGUGGCUCAGAUGAACGCGUUAGCAUUAUUGGAAACGAAAUGAAAAAUCGACUAGGUAUGUAUUAAAAAAAUCAUAUUUUCUCAAAAACAAAAAUAAAACUGAUCACAUGUAAUUGGGCCGCAUAGCACCAAGCAAUAUUUCAAUGAACAAUCGAUAAAUAAUCCAAUAGUUUAGGUCUUAACGUGGGUUCGUCUUAACUCGUCUACGGACUCCGGUAAAAACAGUUUUCAGCACCAGGACCAGUGCAUCUGAUGCCAAAAAAAUAAAUAAAUAAAAUAGGUAUUUUUUCUUAUUUAACUCAAGUAUUGCGGAUUACCAAAGCAAUAAAUAAUAGUAUAAAGCCUUUUUUUUCAAUAAAUAACACGGAUCUACUUUAAAUGACAUUCCUAUUCAAUAUUUAAAUCCAAAGUAAUCCAAACAAUGCAGCGAAAAACAAGUUACUGCCCGGAACAAUGUCAUUGUGAAUUACAUCACCGUCACGGCUUCAUGCCUAUGCGAAUUUGAUAUAAUCUAUUGUGUUAUUUUGUGCAACUUUUAAAUACAUUUUACAGGUACAAUAAUUCAUAGAAUUUCAAUUCAAUUUCAAAUGUUUUGAUGCUUUAUUUAAUGUAGAAUGGAACACCUAACAGAAUUAUACAUCUAAGUCCAUCAUGA